GUCUCGGUAGCUCAGUGGUUAGAGCACACGGCUGUUAACCGUGAGGUCGAAGGUUCAAAUCCUUCCCGGGACG
rnacentral:tRNA from 2 species